rnacentral:lncRNA from 1 species
GGCCGACUCAAAUUCAAAGCAUUUUGUAUAUAUAACUGUUUUCUUUUUUUGCUUUUCUGCUGCAUGUCUUUUUCGUGGGGGGUGAUCCUCUGCAGAUCCCCCCAUUUGCGGACCCGCCAUGUGGAGGAGGCAUUUGGGGGGCUCAGAAGGAAAUUAGCUCGGCUCCAUACCUAUAAGGACUGCCUAACUUUUAAACUCCCGGCACUCAAAGAUGUGGACACACACACGUACAGGAAAUACAGCCAGACCAGAGCCUUUGCAGUCCGCAGCUGACCGGAAGACGUUGCCUUUCAUUCAUUCAUUCUGCCCGCCUCUGUGGACUCCUUUACUAGGCGACCAGCCCUGAAACAGAAGUUGGACAUUUUUUAAAGGUUCUUGCGCUCGGCAAGGGGAGCAGAUAGAUGCUCAAGAGCGAAAGACGCAGAGAAUUGGAUCUGGCGCCUCCUAACGCAGCCCGCACAGGAGCGAAGGAGAGUGUGACGAUCCCCCUGAUGCGGCUGAGAUGCUCUGAAAUGAAGACGUUGGCUCUCAUCCCCAGCCUGA